rnacentral:rRNA from 1 species
GUAGGUGGCAAGCGUUGUCCGGAAUUAUUGGGCGUAAAGCGCGCGCAGGCGGUUCUUUAAGUCUGAUGUGAAAGCCCACGGCUCAACCGUGGAGGGUCAUUGGAAACUGGAGAACUUGAGUACAGAAGAGGAAAGCGGAAUUCCACGUGUAGCGGUGAAAUGCGUAGAGAUGUGGAGGAACACCAGUGGCGAAGGCGGCUUUCUGGUCUGUAACUGACGCUGAGGCGCGAAAGCGUGGGGAGCAAACCAGGGAUUAGAUACCCUGGUAGUCCACGCCGUAAACGAUGAGUGCUAAGUGUUAGGGGGUUUCCGCCCCCGUUAGUGCUGCAGCUAACGCAUUAAGCACUCCGCCUGGGGAUACGGCCGCAAGGCUG